AUGAACGCUAGCUACAGGCUUAACACAUGCAAGUCGAGGGGCAGCAUGGUCUUAGCUUGCUAAGGCCGAUGGCGACCGGCGCACGGGUGAGUAACACGUAUCCAACCUGCCGUCUACUCUUGGACAGCCUUCUGAAAGGAAGAUUAAUACAAGAUGGCAUCAUGAGUCCGCAUGUUCACAUGAUUAAAGGUAUUCCGGUAGACGAUGGGGAUGCGUUCCAUUAGAUAGUAGGCGGGGUAACGGCCCACCUAGUCUUCGAUGGAUAGGGGUUCUGAGAGGAAGGUCCCCCACAUUGGAACUGAGACACGGUCCAAACUCCUACGGGAGGCAGCAGUGAGGAAUAUUGGUCAAUGGGCGAGAGCCUGAACCAGCCAAGUAGCGUGAAGGAUGACUGCCCUAUGGGUUGUAAACUUCUUUUAUAAAGGAAUAAAGUCGGGUAUGGAUACCCGUUUGCAUGUACUUUAUGAAUAAGGAUCGGCUAACUCCGUGCCAGCAGCCGCGGUAAUACGGAGGAUCCGAGCGUUAUCCGGAUUUAUUGGGUUUAAAGGGAGCGUAGAUGGAUGUUUAAGUCAGUUGUGAAAGUUUGCGGCUCAACCGUAAAAUUGCAGUUGAUACUGGAUAUCUUGAGUGCAGUUGAGGCAGGCGGAAUUCGUGGUGUAGCGGUGAAAUGCUUAGAUAUCACGAAGAACUCCGAUUGCGAAGGCAGCCUGCUAAGCUGCAACUGACAUUGAGGCUCGAAAGUGUGGGUAUCAAACAGGAUUAGAUACCCUGGUAGUCCACACGGUAAACGAUGAAUACUCGCUGUUUGCGAUAUACUGCAAGCGGCCAAGCGAAAGCGUUAAGUAUUCCACCUGGGGAGUACGCCGGCAACGGUGAAACUCAAAGGAAUUGACGGGGGCCCGCACAAGCGGAGGAACAUGUGGUUUAAUUCGAUGAUACGCGAGGAACCUUACCCGGGCUUAAAUUGCAGAUGAAUUACGGUGAAAGCCGUAAGCCGCAAGGCAUCUGUGAAGGUGCUGCAUGGUUGUCGUCAGCUCGUGCCGUGAGGUGUCGGCUUAAGUGCCAUAACGAGCGCAACCCUUAUCUUUAGUUACUAACAGGUCAUGCUGAGGACUCUAGAGAGACUGCCGUCGUAAGAUGUGAGGAAGGUGGGGAUGACGUCAAAUCAGCACGGCCCUUACGUCCGGGGCUACACACGUGUUACAAUGGGGGGUACAGAGGGCCGCUACCACGCGAGUGGAUGCCAAUCCCAAAAACCUCUCUCAGUUCGGACUGGAGUCUGCAACCCGACUCCACGAAGCUGGAUUCGCUAGUAAUCGCGCAUCAGCCACGGCGCGGUGAAUACGUUCCCGGGCCUUGUACACACCGCCCGUCAAGCCAUGGGAGCCGGGGGUACCUGAAGUGCGUAACCGCGAGGAGCGCCCUAGGGUAAAACUGGUGACUGGGGCU
rnacentral:rRNA from 1 species